CAGCAGUCUAACACCAUGUCACAAAGCCUAUGCCGUUCACCUCACUUCAUCGCCUAGGCAUUUUAUCAUCUCACGUCAUCACAGGAAGAAAGUUUCAGUGCUUGGUACAGAAUCUCACUCUUGAAGAAUUCUCGGUCCUCAUCCCAGAAGAAGGAUAUCUGGAGCCAACUCUAGUGAAGAUCACACUUUUAGAAAAAUUAAAGAGAAAAACAUGAAAACCAUUACCAGCAUUAUAUGACAACUCUUCUUUUAAGAUUAGAAGUAUGAUUUCAUUCAUUGUUGUUCAGUCGCCAAGUUGUAUCCGACUCUCUGUGACCCCAUGGACUGUAGUCUGCCAGGCUCAUUUGUUCGUGGAAUUUUCCAAGAAUACUGGAGUGAAUUGCCACUUCCUACUCAAGGGGAAGUUCCCUACCAAGGGAUUGAACCAACGUCUCCUGUGUCUCCUGCAUUGGCAGGUGGAUUCUUUACCACUGAGCCACCUGGGAAGCCUUUUCUUAUUGUACUCAUGUAUUAUUUUAAAAAUGUUUAUAGACUUUUAAAAAGAAGUAUAGUUGGUGCUGGUAGGGCUCAGAGUUAGACCUCUUAAUGGUUAGUAUCUAUUAAAUUCUUAUUAGUUGUAGUUUUCUAAUUCUUUACAUCUUGAUUUUUUUCUGACCACUUGGUCUUUGCUGGAGGAUGUAUGCUUUUGACAUUUUUUAAAAGCAUUUGCUUUGUAUACUUUAAUGUUAUGGUAUCUGAUAUAUAGCCAUUCAGGACAUAUCAUUUUUAUAGAUUUCAUUUUUAUUAAUACAGAACAAUCCUCUUUAUGACAUAUGAUACCUCUUCCUUGAAUCUGACUUUUUCUGAUAUAGAUAUUGUCAUACUCUUUAUGGUGCUACUUGAUGUAUCUUUUACUUUCCUCUCACUUUUCAUUUGCAGUGUAUUUUUGUCUUAAAUUGCUACUUGUGAGUGGCAUUGUUUAUGUUUUAUACAAUCGCCAUAUUUGUCUUAGAGAGAGUGUAAUUCUUGUGUGUGUAUAUUCUAAAGUGAUAGCUGUCUUUCUGCUUUGUUCUUAAACUAAUUUCUAGCACAUUUUUUGGGUCUUUUUAAAAGUGGUUUGUACUGUGUUACCAGUUAGUAAGACCACAAGUCAACACAGUGGCAUAUUAUACAACUUAACAAAUAAAUAAGAACAUACCAAGUUAGGCCAUAGUGUGUUCUGGGCAAAAAACCUUAUUUAUGAGCUCAUUAAUUAAAAGGCUGGAUUUUGACAACCCAAUAUUUAGGUGUUGAUGCAAGUCCUUUUUUUUUUAUUAUUAUGUCCACCCCAGGGGCAGUAGACCCGCUUCUACUGUGUCUUUUCCUGAUAUUUACCAGUUCAUCACACACUAAGCUACUGUUUAUAAUGUGUAUUUUGACCCGUCUUCUUCCUCUUUGGUAGUCUUGCUACAUUAGAAACACUUCAUCCCAGGAUGUUUCAGACCAUUAUUAGUGUCUUAUACUUCCUGACUUAACUGGUUUCUUGAAGGUGUACUUACGAAUUUUAAGUGACUUGAAAAGUACAGGUUUACAGCCCCUUUCUCUGGUUGUCUGAAACAUGAGUAUAUGUGGGUACACAAAGCUAGUGCCAAAUGCAGGUGUAAGGUUGGAUUGUGUGUGUGUCUGUGUAUGUGUGGAAUAACAUCUCUCUUACUGCAAAACAUGCAUUAGAGUCAGUUACUAACUGUGAGUCUCCUUACAGCUUCCAAGGUCUUGAAGUAAAGUGAAAGUCGCUCAGUUGUGUCCGACUCUAUAUGACUGCAUGGACUAUACAGUCCAUGGAAUUCUCCAGGCCAGAAUACUGGAGUGGGUAGCCUGCCUUUCCCUUCUCCAGGGGAUCUUUCCAAUCUGGGGAUUUAGCCCAGGUCUCCCUGAUUUCAGGCAGAUUCUUUACCAGCUGAGCCGCAAGGGAAGCCCAUUCCAAGGUCUUAGGAUUAGUAAAUAAACUGAAGAUUCCAGCAGCAGUCUUUUUAAAAAAAUUAUUUAAUGCAUUAGAAAGUCUUUUUCUGAAUCUCUAGAGGCAUUUUACUGAAUAAUUCCUACCCAAAUUUCAUUGUAAACUGGGAUUUGGCCCUUCUCACUUCAUCCCUAUACCUGCAUGACAGGAAGAGACAUUUUCCCAUUGUUUCCUUCUCCAGUCUAGUCUGCCUUACACAUGGCUGCUGACUUAAUAUUCUUAAUGUUUCUUACGGUUUUUAUUCAGUGUAUCCACCUGUUGGCACAGGAAGCUGCCACCAUUUGGUUUCAACCUUUUUCACACUGCACGCUGCCGCUGUAUCUGUCGUACUUUCUGUAUUCUAAAUCUUCCUGUUCUUUUGCCUCUGUGUCUUCACUCACGAUCCUCUUUCUGGAGAGCUGUUCUUCCUUUUCUGCUCGUAGCUGUGAAAAUGCCUUUCUGCUCUUAGAGGCCAGUUCUAACAGAACGUCUCCCUGGGGAAGGUCCCGGCAUCUCAGUUGGGCAGGAGCGUUCUCACCUUCAGUGUUUUCCACUCCUCAGUUCUUGAAUGGUUCUUGCUUUUCUGGGUGUUGUGUGAUCCCAUUCAGCCAUCUGUUCUCACUCACUGUCUCUUAUUCCCUUUAGCUCCUGGGACUGUUUUACAAAGAGGGAACUUGUUGAGUUGAAACUGGGACCCUUGAGAAGUGAUGUGAUGUGACCGGAUGUGAUCAGUGGUUGCCACGUGGUUUUAGUGGUUAUUUAGCACCUCUGUGUGUCUGUAUGAUGCCUGGAAGGUGAGAGUUAAGACAGAACUCAGUCUUACUCCUCAAGGGCAUGAUUUCUGCUUUUUGGUCAGCUUCCAAUAAAAUGUUAAAAUGAAAUCUCUGCUUUCUACUUUAUUAGCCUGUCUGGUAACUUUCCUACUUCUUAGAGUAGGUUUUCUGGAAUUCAUCUCUUUCUUAUUGUUUCAUUCCCCACCCCCUUUUGAAUUAGUAGCAUCAUUGCAACAUCAGAACUUGUAAAUCUUGUAAAUUUCAAUCUAGUAAAGCUUAUGGGUCCUUUAUGAUCUUAUUAUAUGCAUGGAAGAAUUGAAUAGUCUAGUCAUUUAGUUUGAAAGUUGACUUUUAUGUGAAAAGUCAAAGUAUUUGCCCAAGUAACAGCAUUGGGAAUAAUCAUUCCCUAAUUUGAUGUAAGUGGAGGCCCUGAAGUGGAGAUCUACACAAGGUUAUCUCCAAAUGAAGGAAGAUGUCCUGUUGUUCAUGGGGGCCUCCUUCCGUACCUGUAGCUCCUGGUUAGUCACCUCCACAGCAACUGAAUAAUUUCGUUUUCUCCCUUAUACUCCCUUCACACAGCCUCUGAGAAGACUCUUUAUUCACAAUUUUUUCCUUUUUGGAAACUUCUGCACGCUUUUUACUUUACUGUAAUGUCCAGAUUACUUCCCAUUUUUCUUUUUAGGUCCAGCCAAAGACUAUUUUCACAGCAUCUUAAAAGUUCUCAAUUCCAAUUUUCUGAUUUAAAAAAUGAUAGGGCAAAAGCUUUGAUGUGUAAAUACUGCUGUUUUCCCUUUGGUACCAUUCCAACCCUUCUGUGGGUUUUAGAACCUCCUUUCCUCUUAAGAUUUGGGUGUUGGCAUGUGUGUUUGAUCAAAAUUUAAACUGAUAUCUCCAAAUAGCAAAUCUAUGGGACUAAACAACCUUAAUAAUAAUCAUUUUCCUCAUUGUUAUUGUCAAUUUCAGGGUGCAUGACUUUAGUAUAAGGCUUGAUAAGUUAGAUUUUCUAAUUAGCCUUCUCUUCAAAGAAUUCAUUUCCUCUGAAGGGAAGUAAAGAUUGAGGGGAAAAGGGUAACAUUUGCUGUGGCAGGUAAGUUUUAAGUACUUCCUACAUGUUAUCUUAGUGCAUGCCAUAUGGCAUUUUUAAGAUAAGAUGAUGAAAGAAAAGGAGUCAGGACAUUCUUUUUAUAACUACUCCUGGCUGGAGAGAGUUUUAUGAAAAUGUAAAAGGGUAAAACUACAUUGAGCCUGUAUAUUGUGUCAAGUAAAAUUAUUUUUUCUCACUCUUGACUGUAACCUAUAGAGAUAGGCAGACAGGUCUUUCAGAAACUCCUUUGACCUUGUUUCUGCCUUGUCUCUUUUACUUUGUUCAUUAAUAUUCCCUAAUAAUAUGAGGUCAGGGAGGUGAAUUUUACUCAUCUGAUGUCCACAAUCAUUCUUUAUUCUAGCAGCUAUUGGCCCUUCUCUUUAUAUAGAAAUGUGAGGUCAGAAAUCUGGGCCACAAGCCUGUCUGCCUCCAGAGUCAAUCCUUUGAGUUAGUGUUUCUUAGUGUACAACUCCCGUUAGAAUCAUCUGGGGGUGUUGAUUGCAUCUAUUCUGGGCCAGCCCUGAAGUGGACUGGACCAGCAUCUCUGGGGUGGUGGUCAGGAGUCUGCAGAUUGUUAAAACAGACGUGUCAUGAGUUUAGCUUCAUCUUAAUAAGAGGACAGUUAUCUCCUUUCCUCUAGAAUUAAUGGCAAAAGAUGAAUUCGGUUUAGACUUGUCUUGAAAUCAUGAUAGGAUUAUAUAUUCAAGCUGUUCCCAUGUAUGGAAAAAUUAGCUUCUAUACUGUGCUGUCUACCCUAAAGGGAAGGGAAAUGAGAACUAGUGUUAAUUGAAUGACUUCAGCAUGCUAGUCUCUGGCAGGUCAGUGGAUUGUCCUGGACAGUGACUCUGUGUUGACAAUCCCUAGAGCAGGGAAGCUCCCUGUGUCUUAUCUUGUCUGCUGUAGCCAUUGCCUGACCUUAGUUUUGGGAUCCUACCUAGCAUUAAGAAGCCGAGGUUGCCUGAUUUUCUUAGUUUUAUACAUUCAUGUUUUGUAUGUCUUGAGACACCCAUAUGUAUAGGCACAGAGGGACUAUGUGAUAACAGAUAUAUGUAUCUUUUUUUCCAUUACUUCACUUUCAAAUUUUUUGACUUAUUUUUUCGUAUAUAGUAUGUGAAUGGAUUACUUAUUAUGUAUCUGGAACAUCUGUGUCAUUCCAAUGGAAAUUUUAUGUAUUUAAAUUUGUGUGUUUGCAGAUUUAUUUCUCGGUCUUAUUGUAUAAUCUUAACCAUGCUUUUUUUCCUUAGCUGUGCUUUUUAUUCUUUCAGAAAAAUUCUUUCCUGCAUUUUAGUGGAGUAAUUAGGUUUUGCAGACACAUCCUUUCCCUACUGUACUGUUCUAGAGGUUUGAGAGUGAUUGAUUUUGGUGUUUCUCCUUAGAACUUAAGCCUGCAUCCUUGACUUAACAAAAUGUACCAUACAUCACCAUCUGCAUCCUCAUCUCAGUAGUUCAAGAGCUUUUAGAAUACUUAUGUUCCAAAUUCCUCCCUAUCUUCUAUGCUAUUUUUAUUGAGUAUUUGAAUUCUACCUUAUUUUAAAAUAUGAAAUCGUUUCUCAUUUCUUAUACAGUUAACAGUUAGGUACCUGUAUCAGCAGGCUUACCACUUCCUAGUGCAUCCCACUUCCUUCUUCCAGGUUCAGUUUCCUUCCUAUCAAAGUUCAACCUUUCCUGUUUUCUUCAGAAGGUAUUGGUGGCUGGUAAACUGUCAAGUUUUUCCUAAUCAUUCUUUCUUAUAAUCUCAUUCCUUUAAAAAAUAUUUUUAUUGGAGUAUGUGUGUGUGUUAGUCACUCAGUCAUGUCUGACUCUUCACGACCCCAUGGACUCUAUAGCUCACCAGGCUCCUCUGUCCAGGGAAUUCUCCAGGCAAGAUUACAGGAGCAUUGCCUUGAUGUUAGAGAAUGCUUGAUAUUACUUUAAAAGUUAAAUAUUAUAUUAAAUUAAAAAUUGAAUACUUCAACUGUUUUUGGCAGUAUUUUAUAUGUGGUGGUGUUGCUUAGUUACUCAGUUGUGUCCGACUCUUUAGUGACCCCAUCAUCUGUAGCUCACCAGGCUCCUCUGUGCCUGGAAUUUUCCAGGCAAGAAUACUGGAGUGGGUUGCCAUUUCCUUCUCCAGGGGAUCUUUCCAACCUAGGGAUUGAACCCACAUAUCCUUCAUUGGCAGGUGAAUUCUUUACUGCUGAGUCAUCAGGGAAGAACUAUUUUAUGUGUAUGCACUUGAAAUAUUUUAUUG